UCGGGCGGCGCCUCUCGCAGCCUCCUCCUCCCGCCGGCAGAUGGCGCCGCCUCGCUGUGGGCGCCCGCCCGGCCCCGGGCCGGCCCUGAGGUCACGGCGGGCGGAGCCGUGCCGCCGGAGCUCGGGACAGCGCGGUGUCGGCGUGCCUCGAUAGGGUGACCUCCUCUGAGCACGGCUGUCCCUCCGUGCCCGCUCGAGGGCCGCAGCCAUACCCGUCCCACGGCAAGCUCGCUGCCUCCGCGGAGGGCCCGUGCUAUCCUCCACCUCCUCCGCCUUUUCCCCUUUCUAGGAACGUCUCUAAGCGGAAGCACUCGCUUCCUGGAGUAGUGUGGCGUCCCCAGGGCCUCUCGCCUUACCCUCGAUAGGGCCUUACCCUAAACAUUUAGGAUCGAGGUCCCAAACCUAACCUGUGCCCUGGUUGCUGGUGCCACCCUGUGGUCUUUGCCCUUGAACAAGUCUUAGGAGCAAACAGCAGUUCAGGCCGACCACACCAGCUGUAUUGACUGUGCCUUCCUACGAGGAUCGGGAUUUUCUUUGAGAUCCCUCUUCAGAAGUGUGCAGGACUUUUUCAUAUAAAAGCCAUUAGAUAGUACCAUGCCAGGUAAUGUCUGCCCCUUCUUGCACAAUACCAAGCAUAAUUCCAGCUCUUCGUAAUACCUUUGAGCUUGCCUGGGCUACCAAGAGCUCGAGAGGAAGAGGGGUUUUCCCAGAAAGUGCUAGUUUCUAUUUUUCUCCAGGAAGACACUGAAGAAAAGUGGUGCUUUUGGCAAUGUCGUGCAGAAUUAUACACUGAGAUGUUGAACAUCCAAUGUAGCAAUAACCACCAUGAGACUCAUUUGAUUGUUGAGGGCUUUCCCAGCUGAUGGAUGCCUUAUUUCCACUGAGCACCAGAAGGGCCAGUAGGGAUCAAGUGACAGGUAGUGAAGAACCUGGGGCUGAUUCUGAGAAGACACCUCUGCCUUCUGUUGCAGUAGUCAUGGGAACAGUGGGGUACAGGCAUAACUGUGUGAUCCCUGCAUUCCCAGGCCUCACCAGGUUUGUUCAGACCUACUGGGCCAGUGAGGUUGAUUUUUCAUGCCUUUCCAGUUUCAUGCAGAGAGCAAAGCUUCCCUGGAGCUCCUGGCUGGAGCCUGUACUCCUGCAGGGGCUGCCUGCAGCUCUGCUUUGCCAGGAUGGAUCUCUUCUGCUGGCUCCAUCUGUCCAGCAUCUCUCCAGGCUACACAGGUGAUGACUCCUCACCUUCAGUAACAGCCAGGAUAUGGACCAGCAUGCUACACCAUCCAGAAAGCUCCCUGAAUGCUGUGCCUUGGCUCACACUAGCUGCUCAAAGAACUACUGCGAAAGGCUGCUCCUCCCCAUAAGACAGAGACUGUAAUGCUGAGAGCAGGGGGCAAAGCUGCUCUCCACAAACCUCACCACUUUGUAUCACAGUCUGUGGUUCACUUGUGUCUUUCUGGGGCUUUCAUGGAAGCAGAAGAGUUGAAAGGAGCACUCUUCUUGUUUCAUUGGCAUGUUGAAAACACCUUCCACACCAUCACUGCACAUCUGUCGUGUUGACCAUUUACUGAGAACACCUGUGGGGCAGUGCAGCUCAUGGUGUAAAUAGGACCAGGCUGAGGCUGGCUGCUCAGUGUUCUCAAGGCAGAGAACUCUGUGUAGGCUGGCUGGUUUGUUGAGGGACACAGACUAUCUUUGAAGGAACCAUACACCUGUCCAGCAGCCAAACACAGAAGGUACUUCUGCUUCUUUUCAGAAAAACUCCAUUUCUGCCUAAGCUAGACCCUGCUCCAGGCACAGCAGCUGGGAACACUGGCUCUGUGUGUGAAGAUAGAAGUAGCUCCCUGUCUUUCAGCCUAGAAAAUAGACAUCAGAUUCCUUUUUCCAUUACAAAUCCAUGCCUUUCCAUCAGUAAGUGUUUACUUGUUUAGUGGUUGCUUUCUCUGUGUUCACUUCCUUGUAAGUAUUAAUGGAAACUAAAGCAUUGAAAGCUCAGCAUGCCUGAAAGUACAUCUCCAUGUUAGAGAUGUGCAGUGGAAGUGAUGGAAAAUGUGGGAAGGUGACUGAUGGGAUACAUUUUUUCACAUCUCUUUUUCUGAAAAAUCUCUAAGUGGGACAAUGCCACCAGGGUUACAAUAAAAGCAGCCAAAAUAUCCAGAUUAAAACUAUACAUAUAAAUGUAUAUGUAUGUAAAUGAAUGAUUAAGAUUAUACAUAUGCUAUCUAUUAUAUGUUAAUGAUAUAUGACUUAUAUAUGUUAUAUGUAAAACAUAUAUCAAAGUGAUGUAAAUGGAUAUAGAAUUAACUCAGUGCAUACUACUCAGUUCUGGAAACUGAGUAGUUUGGGCUGGAGCUUUGGAUGGGAAAUAUGCUCAAUGUUUGUAAAAUAAUUAGUGAAUUAAAACAUGAAUGAUAGAAGACAUCUUCUCC